rnacentral:rRNA from 1 species
UGUGAGCUCGAUGAGUAGGGCGGGACACGUGGUAUCCUGUCUGAAUAUGGGGGGACCAUCCUCCAAGGCUAAAUACUCCUGACUGACCGAUAGUGAACCAGUACCGUGAGGGAAAGGCGAAAAGAACCCCGGCGAGGGGAGUGAAAAAGAACCUGAAACCGUGUACGUACAAGCAGUGGGAGCCUCUUUUAUGGGGUGACUGCGUACCUUUUGUAUAAUGGGUCAGCGACUUAUAUUCUGUAGCAAGGUUAACCGAAUAGGGGAGCCGAAGGGAAACCGAGUCUUAACUGGGCGUUAAGUUGCAGGGUAUAGACCCGAAACCCGGUGAUCUAGCCAUGGGCAGGUUGAAGGUUGGGUAACACUAACUGGAGGACCGAACCGACUAAUGUUGAAAAAUUAGCGGAUGACUUGUGGCUGGGGGUGAAAGGCCAAUCAAACCGGGAGAUAGCUGGUUCUCCCCGAAAGCUAUUUAGGUAGCGCCUCGUGAAUUCAUCUCCGGGGGUAGAGCACUGUUUCGGCAAGGGGGUCAUCCCGACUUACCAACCCGAUGCAAACUGCGAAUACCGGAGAAUGUUAUCACGGGAGACACACGGCGGGUGCUAACGUCCGUCGUGAAGAGGGAAACAACCCAGACCGCCAGCUAAGGUCCCAAAGUCAUGGUUAAGUGGGAAACGAUGUGGGAAGGCCCAGACAGCCAGGAUGUUGGCUUAGAAGCAGCCAUCAUUUAAAGAAAGCGUAAUAGCUCACUGGUCGAGUCGGCCUGCGCGGAAGAUGUAACGGGGCUAAACCAUGCACCGAAGCUGCGGCAGCGACGCUUAUGCGUUGUUGGGUAGGGGAGCGUUCUGUAAGCCUGCGAAGGUGUGCUGUGAGGCAUGCUGGAGGUAUCAGAAGUGCGAAUGCUGACAUAAGUAACGAUAAAGCGGGUGAAAAGCCCGCUCGCCGGAAGACCAAGGGUUCCUGUCCAACGUUAAUCGGGGCAGGGUGAGUCGACCCCUAAGGCGAGGCCGAAAGGCGUAGUCGAUGGGAAACAGGUUAAUAUUCCUGUACUUGGUGUUACUGCGAAGGGGGGACGGAGAAGGCUAUGUUGGCCGGGCGACGGUUGUCCCGGUUUAAGCGUGUAGGCUGAUUUUCCAGGCAAAUCCGGAAAAUCAAGGCUGAGGCGUGAUGACGAGGCACUACGGUGCUGAAGCAACAAAUGCCCUGCUUCCAGGAAAAGCCUCUAAGCAUCAGGUAACAUCAAAUCGUACCCCAAACCGACACAGGUGGUCAGGUAGAGAAUACCAAGGCGCUUGAGAGAACUCGGGUGAAGGAACUAGGCAAAAUGGUGCCGUAACUUCGGGAGAAGGCACGCUGAUAUGUAGGUGAAGUCCCUCGCGGAUGGAGCUGAAAUCAGUCGAAGAUACCAGCUGGCUGCAACUGUUUAUUAAAAACACAGCACUGUGCAAACACGAAAGUGGACGUAUACGGUGUGACGCCUGCCCGGUGCCGGAAGGUUAAUUGAUGGGGUUAGCGGUAACGCGAAGCUCUUGAUCGAAGCCCCGGUAAACGGCGGCCGUAACUAUAACGGUCCUAAGGUAGCGAAAUUCCUUGUCGGGUAAGUUCCGACCUGCACGAAUGGCGUAAUGAUGGCCAGGCUGUCUCCACCCGAGACUCAGUGAAAUUGAACUCGCUGUGAAGAUGCAGUGUACCCGCGGCAAGACGGAAAGACCCCGUGAACCUUUACUAUAGCUUGACACUGAACAUUGAGCCUUGAUGUGUAGGAUAGGUGGGAGGCUUUGAAGUGUGGACGCCAGUCUGCAUGGAGCCGACCUUGAAAUACCACCCUUUAAUGUUUGAUGUUCUAACGUUGGCCCGUAAUCCGGGUUGCGGACAGUGUCUGGUGGGUAGUUUGACUGGGGCGGUCUCCUCCUAAAGAGUAACGGAGGAGCACGAAGGUUGGCUAAUCCUGGUCGGACAUCAGGAGGUUAGUGCAAUGGCAUAAGCCAGCUUGACUGCGAGCGUGACGGCGCGAGCAGGUGCGAAAGCAGGUCAUAGUGAUCCGGUGGUUCUGAAUGGAAGGGCCAUCGCUCAACGGAUAAAAGGUACUCCGGGGAUAACAGGCUGAUACCGCCCAAGAGUUCAUAUCGACGGCGGUGUUUGGCACCUCGAUGUCGGCUCAUCACAUCCUGGGGCUGAAGUAGGUCCCAAGGGUAUGGCUGUUCGCCAUUUAAAGUGGUACGCGAGCUGGGUUUAGAACGUCGUGAGACAGUUCGGUCCCUAUCUGCCGUGGGCGCUGGAGAACUGAGGGGGGCUGCUCCUAGUACGAGAGGACCGGAGUGGACGCAUCACUGGUGUUCGGGUUGUCAUGCCAAUGGCACUGCCCGGUAGCUAAAUGCGGAAGAGAUAAGUGCUGAAAGCAUCUAAGCACGAAACUUGCCCCGAGAUGAGUUCUCCCUGACUCCUUGAGAGUCCUGAAGGAACGUUGAAGACGACGACGUUGAUAGGCCGGGUGUGUAAGCGCAGCGAUGCGUUGAGCUAACCGGUACUAAUGAACCGUGAGGCUUAACCUU